GAUUAUGGCUCAGGAUGAACGCUAGCUACAGGCUUAACACAUGCAAGUCGAGGGGCAGCAUUGGAGUAGCAAUACUCAGAUGGCGACCGGCGCACGGGUGAGUAACACGUAUCCAACCUGCCGCUUACUCGGGGAUAGCCUUUCGAAAGAAAGAUUAAUACCCGAUGGUAUAAAGAGUUCGCAUGUUCUCUUUAUUAAAGAAUUUCGGUAAGCGAUGGGGAUGCGUUCCAUUAGAUAGUUGGCGGGGUAACGGCCCACCAAGUCUACGAUGGAUAGGGGUUCUGAGAGGAAGGUCCCCCACAUUGGAACUGAGACACGGUCCAAACUCCUACGGGAGGCAGCAGUGAGGAAUAUUGGUCAAUGGACGAGAGUCUGAACCAGCCAAAGUAGCGUGAAGGAUGACUCGCCCUAGUGGGUUAGUAAACUUUCUUUUAGUAAGGGAAAUAAAGUGAGGGACGUCGUUCCCUUUUUGUAUGUACCUUAUGAAUAAGGAUCGGCUAACUCCGUGCCAGCCGCCGC
rnacentral:rRNA from 1 species